rnacentral:rRNA from 1 species
CGAACGCUGGCGGCGUGCUUAACACAUGCAAGUCGAACGGAAAGGCCCUGCUUGCAGGGUACUCGAGUGGCGAACGGGUGAGUAACACGUGGGUGAUCUGCCCUGCACUUCGGGAUAAGCCUGGGAAACUGGGUCUAAUACCGGAUAGGAGCCAUUUUUAGUGUGAUGGUUGGAAAGUUUUUUCGGUGUAGGAUGAGCUCGCGGCCUAUCAGCUUGUUGGUGGGGUAAUGGCCUACCAAGGCGGCGACGGGUAGCCGGCCUGAGAGGGUGGACGGCCACAUUGGGACUGAGAUACGGCCCAGACUCCUACGGGAGGCAGCAGUGGGGAAUAUUGCACAAUGGGCGCAAGCCUGAUGCAGCGACGCCGCGGGGGGGAUGACGGCCUUCGGGUUGUAAACUCCUUUCGCUAGGGACGAAGCUUUUUGUGACGGUACCUAGAUAAGAAGCACCGGCUAACUACGUG